CAAGACCUUGCGCUUUUGGAGCGGCCGAUGUCUGAUUAGCUGGUUGGUGAGGUAAAGGCUUACCAAGGCUUCGAUCAGUAGCUGGUCUGAGAGGACGACCAGCCACACUGGGCCUGAGACACGGCCCAGACCCGUACGGGAGGCAGCAGGGGAGAAUUGGGGACCAUGGGGGCAACCCUGACCCAGCCAUGCCGCGUGCGUGAAGAAGGCCUUCGGGUUGUAAAGCUCUUUCAGCCGGAACGAAAAGGUUACGGUUAAUACCCGUGACUAAUGACGGUACCGGAAGAAGAAGCACCGGCUAACUACGUGCCAGCAGCCGCGGUAAUACGUAGGGUGCGAGCGUUAAUCGGAAUUACUGGGCGCAAAGCGUGCGCAGGCGGUUUUGUAAGUCAGAUGUGAAAUCCCCGGGCUUAACCUGGGAACU
rnacentral:rRNA from 1 species